UGGGGCUUCCCAUCUAUAUGUUGUAGGUCUGUGUCUAUCUUCUCUGCCAGGUUGUACUCCACCAGAGGUGGGGCUUCCCAUCUAUAUGUUGUAGGUCUGUGUCUAUCUUCUCUGCCAGGUUGUACUCCACCAGAGGUGGGGCUUCCCAUCUAUAUGUUGUAGGUCUGUGUCUAUCUUCUCUGCCA